rnacentral:lncRNA from 1 species
AAGGCAUUCAUAGCCUUUGCGUUUAAAGAAAAAUACUUCUUCUCUAAAUCCGACCAUUCGUUCAUCGGUUUAGAGGGAAGUUGAAAACCGUUUUCAACGAUAUUCCAUAAAUCCAGAUUUAGAGAAAUCAAGAAAACUCUCAUUCGAGUUUUCCAAUAAGUGUAGUCCAAUCCGUUAAAGAACGGUGGACGAAAGACCGAAAAGCCCUCUUGAAGAGCCAUUUCUCUCGGGUGUAAAUCCGAAAUGAGAAAUACCCCGCUCUGAUACCAAUUGUUAGGAUCGAGAGCACUAAGAGGGGGGGGUGAAUUAGUGCAGCGGAAAUCGUUUAGCGAUU